rnacentral:lncRNA from 1 species
UUGCCAAACCCUUAUCCCCUUAUCUUUCUUCUCUCUCUCUCUAGAACCUUUAGUUACCUGUAACUAAAGUCUCACCACCACCACAGCUACCAUCCAGCCACCACUCCAACCACUGCCAGACGACCACCUAAACGCCUCACAGGUCGCGACCUCCACUUCGACCGACGAUAUCGAAACCCCCCUCACCACCACUUCAACCCACGAAACCUUGCCUUAGAUCUGAAACCCUUGUAGAUCUCGACCAUAUGGAAUAGGUCUCUGGCUUGCUCCUGUCUGCGCUUUGGUUAACUCACUGGAAUUUCAUCGCAGAGCAGUUAACUCACCGGAAUUUCACCGGAAUUGUAUUGGAGUUGAGAAAUUGUCGGAGGAACUUGGACAGUUAGAGUGUUUGAAAGAGUUAAAUAUAGAAGGUACAGGCAUAGGUGAUCUUCCGCAGAGCAUUUUUCAAUUGAAAGGUUUGUGUAUUGUAUUGUCUCGAUUGUGGCUUUUGGGCUAUGGUUUGACAUCCUUAAAAAAAUCUCAAGAAACAUGUCCUCAGGCUACAUAUAGUUGUGAAGACAUGAGUCUCCUCUGAGUACCCACAGUAGCCAAUUCACAAACAAGUAUUGAAACAGGCAAUUAAAUGUAGACGUUGAAGCAAACAAUCGAAGUUCAAGAGACCAAAUGUAGAGAGAGAUACAGGGAGAGAGAGAGAGAGUACAGGGAGAGAGAGUACAGGGGAGAAAUAGAGAUGAUGUUUAGGUUUAUAAUUUUUAAAUUUUGAAUUUUGAUAUUCUUUUUUUUAUCAAAUGACUCUUUUGCCCUCAUAUGGGUUGCACAUGACCUCACUUAACUGAAAGUUUUAACCAGGUUAAGGUCAAAGGACGUAUGGUGUAACAUGUUUUGCAAAUAAAGGACUGUGACUGUAAUUAUUAAAGUUAAAGGUCAUCCAUUGCAACCCGCUACAAACAUAAAGGACGAAAAAUGUAAUUUUUCCUUCAAUUUAUUUAUCAUGUGACAAAUAGUCAUCAAAUUCAGCUUCUUUUCGUGUUCUGGACGAAUUAUUACUUCGAAUUCUUCUGUGCUCUAUUUCUGUUCCUAUUCUUCCCCUAUUUUGAAAUUGUCCUGGCACGCUUCUUGAGUUUCGUUUUAAUUCUUUGUUGGGGUAGAAAUUGGUUGUGUUGUGGGUGUGAUUCAUAGUUGUCGGAUGGUAGGGUGAAGGCGGUGGUGGAGGAGGUGGGGUUUGUGAAAAAUUUGCUCUGUUUGUGGUCUUUUUCUAGGUAACGUCUCCGAUUGAGUGGAUUUCUGAACGGAAUGUUGGAGAUAAAGGGUGGGGUUUGUGUUCUGGUGAUGGGUUUGAUCCGUUUUUGAAGACUUUAAAGAUUGGUAACGGAAAGAUGGUGAUUCAAUUGGAUUAUUGGUGUCAGAAGUAUCAUGCACAGAAGGUGUCGGUGGAGGGUGUUGAUGGAGGUGGGUGGAGGUUGAAGAUGAAGUAG